rnacentral:rRNA from 1 species
AUUGAACGCUGGCGGCAUGCUUUACACAUGCAAGUCGAGCGGUAACAGGUUAAGCUGACGAGUGGCGAACGGGUGAGUAAUGCAUCGGAACGUGCCCGGUCGUGGGGGAUAACGCAGCGAAAGCUGCGCUAAUACCGCAUACGAUCUGAGGAUGAAAGCGGGGGACCGUAAGGCCUCGCGCGAUCGGAGCGGCCGAUGUCAGAUUAGGUAGUUGGUGAGGUAAAGGCUCACCAAGCCAACGAUCUGGAGCUGGUCUGAGAGGACGACCAGCCACACUGGGACUGAGACACGGCCCAGACUCCUACGGGAGGAAGCAGUGGGGAAUUUUGGACAAUGGGCGAAAGCCUGAUCCAGCAAUGCCGCGUGCAGGAAGAAGGCCUUCGGGUUGUAAACUGCUUUUGUACGGAGCGAAAAGGCUCUCUCUAAUACAGGGGGCUCAUGACGGUACCGUAAGAAUAAGCACCGGCUAACUACGUGCCAGCAGCCGCCGUAA